GUAUUUCCGCCGGCGCGAAACGAGCGUAGCUUCCUUGUCGUGUGGCCUCAGUCCUUCGCCGUCCCUCGCCGUCCUUCGCCAUCGCACGCCACCGCACCCCAUCUCUCGAAAUCUGCAGACAUCUUGAUUUUUCCCACGCUGUCUGUCAGGUCUCCGCCGCCACUCGACGCCAGGGCGCCGGGUGAGUCCACAGCAGGGCGCAUGGUCGGCUCCACUCUCACCAUCGGGGGAAACUGAGGCCCCGGGGAAGGCGGCCAGAGAGGUCAGGCCCUGUCCUUGGUGCAGUGUCUCGUCCUCUUUGCCGGAGUGAGCCCCCCAGGAUUCGCGUGUCCUCGGGAAAGACACUGGCAGGCCUUGUGGGCUGUGCUGCACCUCGGACGGCUUCGCACCAGCCAGCGCCCUCUCUCUCCUGCAGCACUCUGAUCUGCACCCCCUGAGGGGCUUCCACUGUCCGCGGGGUGAGAAUGCCCCUGGGAGUGUCACAUGACUGCCGCCCCAUGUGUGUGAGAGGCGUCCUCUGGGAGAGCAUGGAUCCUGAGGUCCCAGGAUUGUCAGCUGACCUCUGUCCUGUGUGCCCAGUGGCCCCAGGUGACGUGUCUUCAAGAAGAGGCUGAGCUGCGGUGCUUGUAAGAGUCAUGUGCUGUUCCUGGGGCUUGGAUGAUGUAGGGGAAGCAAGGUGAAAGUGGUAUCCCGUGGUUCCACGUUCUGUCCUGCUGUGGGGCUGUCCCUCACAUGCUUUCAGUGGCUGUUGCAGAGGAAGAGCCUCCGGAAAUCUGCGUGGGUCUCAGCCUUAGAUCCAAGGACAGUCCAAGGAAGUCCUAAGACCAUGGAGUUGGUGAUCUGGGAUCUGGGUUUGCUGAUAUUUCUCACCGUGAAUCUCUUGGUGGUGUUUGUGGGCACGAGAGGGGCAGAGAAUGGAGAGUGAGGCUACCACAUGAAGCGUCACCAGAGCUGCUCCCUGCUGCCUGCUCAGAGCACCCCGGAUCCACUGUUCAAUCUGCACAAGAUUCGGGGUCCAGACAUGGGAGACUUCAGCUGCCUCAGAGGACCGUGGACAGGGAAGGCCAGCCUCGCAUCCCUCUGUCCAUGCCUGGAAUGACUUUAAUAACCAAGAGUUUUAUUUUUGAAUUUGUAGCUGUCGUUCACUUUUUACCCACCCAUUCAAUAAACCUUACAGAAUUGCUCCA
rnacentral:lncRNA from 1 species